rnacentral:rRNA from 1 species
UGGGGAAUUUUGGACAAUGGGCGCAAGCCUGAUCCAGCCAUGCCGCGUGCAGGAUGAAGGCCUUCGGGUUGUAAACUGCUUUUGUACGGAACGAAAAGGUGCCUUCUAAUAAGGGGCGCUCAUGACGGUACCGUAAGAAUAAGCACCGGCUAACUACGUGCCAGCAGCCGCGGUAAUACGUAGGGUGCAAGCGUUAAUCGGAAUUACUGGGCGUAAAGCGUGCGCAGGCGGUUUUGUAAGACAGAGGUGAAAUCCCCGGGCUCAACCUGGGAACUGCCUUUGUGACUGCAAAGCUGGAGUGCGGCAGAGGGGGAUGGAAUUCCGCGUGUAGCAGUCAAAUGCGUAGAUAUGCGGAGGAACACCGAUGGCGAAGGCAAUCCCCUGGGCCUGCACUGACGCUCAUGCACGAAAGCGUGGGGAGCAAACA